UACGGAGGGUGCAAGCGUUAUCCGGAUUCACUGGGUUUAGAGGGUGCGUAGGAGGGCAGGUAAGUCAGUGGUGAAAUCCCCGAGCUUAACUUGGGACUGCCGUUGAUACUAUCUGUCUUGAAUAUCGUGGAGGUGAGCGGAAUAUGUCAUGUAGCGGUGAAAUGCUUAGAUAUGACAUAGAACACCAAUUGCGAAGGCAGCUCGCUACACGAAAUAUUGACUCUGAGGCACGAAAGCGUGGGGGAUCAAACAGGG
rnacentral:rRNA from 1 species